rnacentral:rRNA from 1 species
UCCAGACUCCUACGGGAGGCAGCAGUGAGGAAUAUUGGUCAAUGGGCGCGAGCCUGAACCAGCCAAGUAGCGUGAAGGAUGACUGCCCUACGGGUUGUAAACUUCUUUUAUAAAGGAAUAAAGUGAGGCACGUGUGCCUUUUUGUAUGUACUUUAUGAAUAAGGAUCGGCUAACUCCGUGCCAGCAGCCGCGGUAAUACGGAGGAUCCGAGCGUUAUCCGGAUUUAUUGGGUUUAAAGGGUGCGUAGGCGGACAGUCAAGUCAGCGGUAAAAAUGCGGUGCUCAACGCCGUACAGCCGUUGAAACUGGCAGUCUUGAGUGGGCGAGAAGUAUGCGGAAUGCGUGGUGUAGCGGUGAAAUGCAUAGAUAUCACGCAGAACUCCGAUUGCGAAGGCAGCAUACCGGCGCCCUACUGACGCUGAGGCACGAAAGCGUGGGUAUCGAACAGGAUUAGAUACCCUCGUA